GGUAUCAGAAGUGCGAAUGCUGACAUAAGUAACGAUAAAGCGGGUGAAAAGCCCGCUCGCCGGAAGACCAAGGGUUCCUGUCCAACGUUAAUCGGGGCAGGGUGAGUCGACCCCUAAGGCGAGGCCGAAAGGCGUAGUCGAUGGGAAACGGGUUAAUAUUCCCGUACUUGGUGUUACUGCGAAGGGGGGACGGAGAAGGCUAUGUUGGCCGGGCGACGGUUGUCCCGGUUUAAGCGUGUAGGUGUGUGUUCCAGGUAAAUCCGGUUCACUUUAACACUGAGGCGUGAUGACGAGGCACUACGGUGCUGAAGUAACAAAUGCCCUGCUUCCAGGAAAAGCCUCUAAGCAUCAGGUAACAUCAAAUCGUACCCCAAACCGACACAGGUGGUCAGGUAGAGAAUACCAAGGCGCUUGAGAGAACUCGGGUGAAGGAACUAGGCAAAAUGGUGCCGUAACUUCGGGAGAAGGCACGCUGACACGUAGGUGAAGUGAUUUACUCAUGGAGCUGAAGUCAGUCGAAGAUACCAGCUGGCUGCAACUGUUUAUUAAAAACACAGCACUGUGCAAACACGAAAGUGGACGUAUACGGUGUGACGCCUGCCCGGUGCCGGAAGGUUAAUUGAUGGGGUCAGCGCAAGCGAAGCUCCUGAUCGAAGCCCCGGUAAACGGCGGCCGUAACUAUAACGGUCCUAAGGUAGCGAAAUUCCUUGUCGGGUAAGUUCCGACCUGCACGAAUGGCGUAAUGAUGGCCAGGCUGUCUCCACCCGAGACUCAGUGAAAUUGAACUCGCUGUGAAGAUGCAGUGUACCCGCGGCAAGACGGAAAGACCCCGUGAACCUUUACUAUAGCUUGACACUGAACAUUGAGCCUUGAUGUGUAGGAUAGGUGGGAGGCUUUGAAGUGUGGACGCCAGUCUGCAUGGAGCCGACCUUGAAAUACCACCCUUUAAUGUUUGAUGUUCUAACGUGGACCCGUUACCCGGGUUGCGGACAGUGUCUGGUGGGUAGUUUGACUGGGGCGGUCUCCUCCUAAAGAGUAACGGAGGAGCACGAAGGUUGGCUAAUCCUGGUCGGACAUCAGGAGGUUAGUGCAAUGGCAUAAGCCAGCUUGACUGCGAGCGUGACGGCGCGAGCAGGUGCGAAAGCAGGUCAUAGUGAUCCGGUGGUUCUGAAUGGAAGGGCCAUCGCUCAACGGAUAAAAGGUACUCCGGGGAUAACAGGCUGAUACCGCCCAAGAGUUCAUAUCGACGGCGGUGUUUGGCACCUCGAUGUCGGCUCAUCACAUCCUGGGGCUGAAGUAGGUCCCAAGGGUAUGGCUGUUCGCCAUUUAAAGUGGUACGCGAGCUGGGUUUAGAACGUCGUGAGACAGUUCGGUCCCUAUCUGCCGUGGGCGCUGGAGAACUGAGGGGGGCUGCUCCUAGUACGAGAGGACCGGAGUGGACGCAUCACUGGUGUUCGGGUUGUCAUGCCAAUGGCACUGCCCGGUAGCUAAAUGCGGAAGAGAUAAGUGCUGAAAGCAUCUAAGCACGAAACUUGCCCCGAGAUGAGUUCU
rnacentral:rRNA from 1 species